CGGGUGAGUAACACGUAGAUAACCUACCUAUAAGACUGGGAUAACUUCGGGAAACCGGAGCUAAUACCGGAUAAUAUAUUGAACCGCAUGGUUCAAUAGUGAAAGACGGUUUUGCUGUCACUUAUAGAUGGAUCCGCGCCGCAUUAGCUAGUUGGUAAGGCAACGGCUUACCAAGGCAACGAUGCGUAGCCGACCUGAGAGGGUGAUCGGCCACACUGGAACUGAGACACGGUCCAG
rnacentral:rRNA from 1 species